CAGUCGCCACGGUAAUACGUAGGGUGCGAGCGUUAAUCGGAAUUACUGGGCGUAAAGCGUGCGCAGGCGGUUGUGUAAGACAGGUGUGAAAUCCCCGGGCUUAACCUGGGAACUGCGCUUGUGACUGCACAGCUAGAGUAUGGCAGAGGGGGGUGGAAUUCCACGUGUAGCAGUGAAAUGCGUAGAGAUGUGGAGGAACACCGAUGGCGAAGGCAGCCCCCUGGGCCAAUACUGACGCUCAUGCACGAAAGCGUGGGGAGCAAACAGGAUUAGAUACCCCCGUAGUCCCUGUCUCUUAUAA
rnacentral:rRNA from 1 species